rnacentral:lncRNA from 1 species
GGAAAGUGGCUGAUGGGGGUAGCGAGCGCUCCCCCUGCACCUCACCGCCUCCCAGCAGGAUCUGGGGCUCUCCUUCUGCACCGGAACCGCUUCCCAGAGAGAUUCACUUAGUGAAGAGGGGCCCAAAGCUGGAGAUAUCGAGGGAGCUAACUCCCAAUCCCACUCCUUACCUGUUUUUUCAGUCCUCUUUUGUCUUCAUUCAAAUCGGCUCGCCUUCUCGGAGCAAACCAGUUCGAAGAGAAGAUUCGACUUGUGAUAAGAGCCCGGUUUGGGGAGAUUUUCCUGCUUUGUGUUGCUUUCCUGAGGAGGUGACAGAGCAUCAGAUUCGAGAUGGAUGUGUCCAAGAUUUCAGGGGGAAACUGGACCCUUAA